rnacentral:rRNA from 1 species
UACGUAGGGGGCAAGCGUUGUCCGGAUUUAUUGGGCGUAAAGAGCGUGUAGGCGGUUCGGUAGGUCCGUUGUGAAAACUCGAGGCUCAACCUCGAGACGCCGAUGGAAACCGUCUGGCUAGAGUCCGGAAGAGGAGAGUGGAAUUCCUGGUGUAGCGGUGAAAUGCGCAGAUAUCAGGAAGAACACCCGUGGCUAAGGCGGCUCUCUAGUACGUGACUGACGCUGAGACGCGAAAGCGUGGGGAGCGAACAGG